AGUCGUAACAAGGUUUCCGUAGGUGAACCUGCGGAAGGAUCAUUAGUGAUUGCCAUCUUGGCUUAAACUAUAUCCAUCUACACCUGUGAACCGUUUGAUUGAAUCUUCUGAUUCAAUUUUACAAACAUUGUGUAAUGAACGUCAUUAGAUCAUAACAAAAAAAAACUUUUAACAACGGAUCUCUUGGCUCUCGCAUCGAUGAAGAACGCAGCGAAAUGCGAUAAGUAAUGUGAAUUGCAGAAUUCAGUGAAUCAUCGAAUCUUUGAACGCAACUUGCGCUCUCUGGUAUUCCGGAGAGCAUGCCUGUUUGAGUGUCAUGAAAUCUCAACCAUUAGGGUUUCUUAAUGGCUUGGAUUUGGAGGUUGCCAUUCUAAAUGGCUCCUCUUAAAGGAGUUAGCAAGUUUUACUAUUGCUAUCUGGCGUAAUAAGUUUCGCUGGAAUGGUAUUGUGAAGCGUGCUUCUAAUCGUCUUCGGACAAUUACUUUGACUCUGGCCUCAAAUCAGGUAGGACUACCCGCUGAACUUAAGCAUAUCAAUAAGCGGAGGAA
rnacentral:misc_RNA from 1 species